rnacentral:rRNA from 1 species
UGAGGAACAUGACCUUCGGCGGGGGAGUAGCCGGCCCAACGGCCGGGUAAUACCGCGUACGACCACAUGGGGACAUCCCUGAGUGGUGAAAGCAGCAAUGCGCCGAUGGAGUGCCUCGCGGCCUAUCAGCUAGUUGGUGAGGUAACGGCUCACCAAGGCGACGACGGGUAGCUGGUCUGAGAGGAUGGCCAGCCACAUUGGGACUGAGACACGGCCCAGACCUNUACGGGGA